rnacentral:rRNA from 1 species
AUGAGUAGCCGCCGCCGCCACCCUCACCCCCUCUCGCCGGCGGCGGCGCCGCUGGACGAUGACGACCUGCUCUCCGAGAUCCUCCUCCGCCUCCCCCCACAGCCAUCCUCCCUCCCCCGCGCCUCUCUCGUCUGCAGGCGCUGGCGCCUCCUCGUCUCCGACCCUCGCUUCGCCCGCCGCUUCCGCCUCCACCACCGCCGCAACCCUCCCCUCCUCGGCUUCCUUCACAUAGGCUUUCGAACUCGCGAGCUCUCCUUCGUGCCUACUCUGGAGCCCCCCAAUCGUGUCCCGCCCGGGCGCUUCUCUUUGAAGUUCGACGGCGUCGUGCUCCUCGGAUGUCGCCAUGGCCUGGUACUCGUCUACCACGCGUCUUGGAAACAGAUCCUGGUGUGGGAUCCUGUCACCGCCGACCAGCACCGGAUUGCCGUCCCCCCUGAGUUUGCGAGAGAUGAGGGGCGCCCCCUGAUCAGUGGGUCGGUGCUUCGUGCUGCCGGAGAUGCCCAACACUUUCAUGUAGCCUUGACAGUGGUAGACUACGAGGACAAACAACACAGACAAGCUCUCGCAUGUGUGUACUCGUCAGAGACCGGAGUAUGGGGUGAUGUCGUCUUGACACCGCUUCCAUCCAAGGCUUCUGUGCGCACGCUGGUUAUUACAGAUAAGACCGCUGUGCUGGUUCGGAAUUCUCUUUACUGGCUGCUUUUGGGGAAUUUGGAUGGAUUGCUGGAGUUUGAUUUGGAGAGGCAGGUCCUAGCUGUGAUACGGAUGCCAAUGGAUUUGGUUGCCAAGGGAAGUUAUGAUAUCUGUGUGAUGCAGGGAGAGGAUGGUGGUCUUGGUCUCUUCUGUGUGCUGCAGUUGGACUACAUUGCCCAAUUAUGGGAGAGGAAGUCUGAUUGUCAUGGUGUUGCUUCAUGGGUGCUAGGAAGAACUAUUGAACUGGACAAGCUAAUUCCCAUGAAUUUAGCUGAGAAAAUGCCCGUUGUGGUACUGGGGUUUGAUGAGGACAAUAAUGUGGUGUGCUUGUGGACACCAUCUGUCUUCUUUAUGGUCCAUCUCGAGUCAUUGCAGUCCAAGAAACUUUUUGAAGCCAACUUCAUUUUUGGUUGUCACCCAUCCGAAAGUGUCUACACUGCAGAAACAGACAUUGGUGGUGGGCACGAUGGGGCUGGUCUUUUGCAGAAUACAUAA